rnacentral:lncRNA from 1 species
CUUCUCUCUGACAACUGCACCACCCCUAAGUACCCAGGCUUUAGAGACAAUUUUCACAAAAGACACAUAAAUAGAGGUUUUAAUUAUUGGAUUAAAAACAUAUGUUCCAAAGGUGGCUGUUUGAAAGGGGACAAUAUUUUGGACAGGUAACAUCACUCCAGAUCAACAAAUAUACCUGGAGAUAUCUGCAGUGCUUCCUAUUGUAAACAAAUAAGAAUUUCUCCAUGUUUACUCGGUGGUUUUUUUUUUUUUUUUGAGACAGAGUCUCGCUUUGUCGCCAGGCUGGAGUGCGGUGGCGCCAUCUUGGCUCACUGCAAGCUCCGCCUCCCGGGUUCACGCCGUUCUCCUGCCUCAGCCUCCCGAGUAGCUGGGACUACAGGCGCCCGCUGCCACGCUCGGACAAUUUUUUUUUCUUUCUAUUUUUAGUACAGCCGGGGUUUCAUCAUGUUGGCCAGGAUGGUCUUGAUCUCCUGACCCCGUGAUCGGCCUGCCUCAGCCUCCCAAAGUGCUGGGAUUACAGGCGUGAGCCACCGCGCCCAGCCCUGAGUGUAUUUUUCAAAAAUCCAUUAUUUCAGAGAAAUGAUGAAGUCUAUAACACCAAUUUCAAAAGAGCUAGGGCUUCUUCAGUCAGCACAGGAGGCUCCUGCAAGGGAAAAACGACUCUAGGAGAUGGAGUUGCCUGUGGGGAAGCAGCUCCAGCACAGAUCAAGGCUUCACAUGAAAGAGUCUGGACUUGUAUUUUGUUAACGUUCACUGUGAAGAAGAUGCUCAAUGGGAAAUACAGACAUACAGAAGGGAAGGGGAAAUCUAAGGAAGUCAUUGGUAUCUAGGCCACAGAUACUGUAUUUGUUUUGUGUUGCCUUAAGAGAAUACCUGAGACUGGGUAAUAUAUAAAGAAAAGUGGUUUAUUUAGCUCACAAUUCAGCAUGCUGAGAAGUUCAAGAGCAUGGUGUGGCAUCUGGCUGGCUUCUGGUAAAAGUUGUGUGCUGAGUCAAAACAUGGCAAAGAAGCAGAAAAGCAAGCGGUCAUGUGCGAAGAAAUCACAUGGCAAGAGAGGAAGCAAGACAGAAUCUAGGAAGCUGGAGUCACUUUUAUAAGAGCUCAUUCUUCGGCAACUAAUUCAGUCCAGCUGGAAAGAGAACUCACUCAUUCCUGUGGGAAAGCAUUAAUCUAUUCAUGAGAAAUCCACCCCCAUGAAGCAAACACCUCACUAUCCCACCUCCAGACAUCAAGAGAUUGGAGAUCACACUUCAACAUGAGUUUCCGAGGGGACAAACAAAUCAUAGCAGUUACCAAUCCUGCUUUAAUACAGGCCUGACGAAAUGUCCUUUUGCAAUCCUGGUGUUUUCUAUUUUGUUAAACAGCUUUAUUGAGAUGUAAUUCACUAACCGUAAGUUUGCCCAUUUCAAGCACACAAUUCAAUGGUUUUCAGCAUAUUCACGUAUUGUUGCAACCAUCGACCACAACCUAAACCUAAAGUAUUUUUAUCAGUACUCCCUAAAAGCCCCCAUAACUUUUUGCAGUCCUACCCAUUGCCCUCCAUACCUCCAACUCCCUGCCAUAGGCAACCACCAAUCUACUCUCUAUCUUUAUAAAUUUACCUGUUCUCCCCGUUUCAUAUAAAUGGGGCCACACAAUGUGUUUUCUUUGGUAUUUGACUUCCUUCACGUAACACUUUCAUUUUCAUGUUGUAGCAUGGAUCUGUUCUUCAUUCCUUUUUAUUGCUGAACAAUACUCCAUUGGGAGGAUAAACAGCCAUGCAUCACUCAAUGAGGAGGAUGCAUUCUGAGAAAUGUAUCAUCAGGUUUCAUCACUGUGCAAACAUACACAAACCUAGAUAGUGUGGCCUAUUACACACCUAAGCUAUGUGGCUUAGCCUUAUUGCUGCUCCCAGGAUACAGAUCUGUACAGCGUGUUGUUACUGUACUGAAUACGGCGUGCAGCUGCAACACAAUGGUAAGUAUUUGUGUAUCUAAACAUAUGAAAGGUACAGUAAACAUACAACAUGACAGAUAAGGGCCCGGCACUGUGGCUCAUGCCUGUAAUCCCAGGACUUUUCGGAGGCCAAGGCAGGCAGAUCACCUGAGGUCAGGAGUUCAAAACCAGCCUGGCCAACAUGGCAAAACCCCACCUCUACUAAAAAUACAAAAAUUAGCCUGGUAUGGUAGUGCACGCCUGUAAACCCAGUUACUUGGGAAGCUGAGGCAUGAGAAUCCCUUGAGACCAGGAGGGAGAGGUUGCAGUGAGCCGAGAUCGUGCCACUGCGCUCUAGCCUGUGCAACAGAGCAAGACGCUGUCAAAAAGCAAACAAAUGAAAAGAAACAAAAACAAACAAAAAGAAAAGAGAAAUGAAAGAUGAAAAAUGGUAUACUUAUAUAGGGCACUUACUAUGAACAGAGCUUGCAGGACUGGAAGUUGCUCUGAAUGAGUCGGUGAGUGAGUGGUAAGUGAAUAUGAAGGCCUAGGACAUCACUGUAUACUACUGAAGACGUAAUGAACACUGCACACUUAUGCUACAGUUGAUUUUUAAAAUAACUGUGCUACGACUUUAUGACAGCUACCAUGUCACUAGGCAGUAGGAAGUUUUCAGCUUCAUUGUAAUCUUAUGGAGCCACUUUUGUAUAUGCAGUCUCCUUAACCUAAAAGUCAUUAUUUAGUGCAUGACUAUACUGCAUUUGUUUACCUGUUCAUCAGUUGAUGGAUAUUUGGGUUGUUUCUACUUUUUGACUCUGAAUAAUGAUAAUGCUGCUAUGAAUAUUUUGUUUUCAUGUGGUUUUCAUUUCUCUUGAGUAUAUACCUAGGGCUCGUUUGGUGACUCUGUUAGUACAUAUUGGGUACAAGAAAUGUGUGUGUGUGACUGUAUCAUGAAAAGUGUGUGUGUGUGUGUGUGUGAGAGAGAGUGAGAUAAAAAGGUGAUGGUUUGUUUUACAAGACAAGAAGAAUAGGAAAAAAAUCAUUCAAUAGAAAUUAUAUGUAAGUAGAUUCUUAUAUUUUAA